AGCGUAACAAGGUUUCCGUAGGUGAACCUGCGGAAGGAUCAUUACUGUGAUUUAUAUCUUAUACACAUGCGUGAGCGCACCAAACACCUAAAAUUGUAAUACCACCAGUCACUAAGUUUUAACAAAACAAAACUUUCAACAACGGAUCUCUUGGUUCUCGCAUCGAUGAAGAGCGCAGCGAAAUGCGAUACCUAGUGUGAAUUGCAGCCAUCGUGAAUCAUCGAGUUCUUGAACGCACAUUGCGCCCCAUGGUAUUCCAUGGGGCAUGCCUGUCUGAGCGUCGUUUCCUUCUUGCGCAAGCAGAGUUGAGAACAGGCUAUGCCUUUUUCGAAAUGGAACGUCGUGGACGAAGUGAACUAAACUUUUAGCACGCUUUGGCCGCCGAACUUUUAACUAAGCUCGCCCUCAGAUGCAGGUACGAAGGUCGUCCUUG
rnacentral:rRNA from 1 species